UAUAGCUCAGUGGUAGAGUGCUUGCCUGGCAUGCACAAGGCCCUGGGUUCAAUUCCCAAUA
rnacentral:tRNA from 1 species